rnacentral:snRNA from 1 species
AUCAGUUUAAUAUCUGAUACGUCCUCGAUGAGAGGACUUUAUAUUAAACGGAUUUUUGGGUUCGGGAGUUGGAUCCGGAGCUUGCUCCCUCCGCUCCACGCAUCGUCCCGGUAUUGCAGUGCCUCCGGGAACGGUGC